rnacentral:rRNA from 1 species
UACGUAGGGGGCAAGCGUUGUCCGGAAUCAUUGGGCGUAAAGCGCGUGUAGGCGGCCCGGUAAGUCCGCUGUGAAAGUCCAGGGCUCAACCCUGGAAUGCCGGUGGAUACUGUCGGGCUCGAGUCCGGAAGAGGCGAGUGGAAUUCCUGGUGUAGCGGUGAAAUGCGCAGAUAUCAGGAGGAACACCGGUGGUGUAGACGGCUUUCUGGACCGUAACUGACGCUGAGACACGAAAGCGUGGGUAGCAAACAGG